rnacentral:rRNA from 1 species
UGGGGAAUAUUGCACAAUGGAGGGAACUCUGAUGCAGCGACGCCGCGUGAGUGAUGAAGGAAUUCGUUUCGUAAAACUCUGUUCUAUGGGAAGAAAAGGACUGUACCAUAGGAGAAAGCUCCGGCUAAAUACGUGCCAGCAGCCGCGGUAAUACGUAUGGAGCGAGCGUUGUCCGGAAUUAUUGGGCGUAAAGGGUGCGCAGGCGGCUUUACAAGUUGGAUGUGAAAUAUUGUGGCUCAACCACAAACGUGCAUCCAAAACUGCAAAGCUUGAGUUAAGGAGAGGUAAGUGGAAUUCCUGGGGUAGCGGUGGAAUGCGUAGAUAUCAGGAGGAAUACCGGUGGCGAAGGCGACUUACUGGACUUAAACUGACGCUCAGGCACGAAAGCGUGGGGAGCAAACAGG